rnacentral:sRNA from 1 species
GGGCUCCGGGUCGACCUCCACCUUUGUGAACCAAUCUUGUUGCUUCGGGGGCGACCCUGCCGCUUCGGCGGUGCGGCGCCCCCGGAGGCCAUCAAACACUGCAUCAUUGCGUCCGAGUAAAAGUAAAUGAAACAAAACUUUCAACAACGGAUCUCUUGGUUCCAGCAUCUAUGAAGAACGCAACGAAAUGCGAUAAGUAAUGUGAAUUGCAGAAUUCAGUGAAUCAUCGAAUCUUUGAACGCACAUUGCGCCCUCUGGUAUUCCGGGGGGCAUGCCUGUUCAAGCGUCAUUUCACCACUCAAGCCUGGCUUGGUAUUGGGCGUCGCGGUGCCGCGCGCCUUAAAGUCUUCCGGCUGAGCUGUCCGUCUCUAAGCGUUGUGGCAACUAUUCGCUUCGGAGGCCGGGCGGCCGCGGCCGUUAAAUCUUUCACAAGG